rnacentral:rRNA from 1 species
GACGAACGCUGGCGGCGUGCUUAACACAUGCAAGUCGAACGGGAGUAUUGAAGAAGCUUGCUUUAGAGAUACUUUAGUGGCGGACGGGUGAGUAACGCGUGAGGAGCUGUCCGAUGCAGGGGGACAACAGUUGGAAACGACUGCUAAUACCCCAUAAGCCGAGAGGUAAAAGGAUUUAUCCGGCAAUGGAGGUGCGCGCGUCCUAUCAGCUAGUAGGUGAGGUAACGGCUCACCUAGGCGAAGACGGGUAGCCGGCCUGAGAGGGCGAACGGCCACACUGGAACUGAGAUACGGUCCAGACUCCUACGGGAGGCAGCAGUGGGGAAUAUUGGGCAAUGGGGGGAACCCUGACCCAGCGACGCCGCGUGGGUGAAGAAAUCCUUCGGGAUGUAAAGCCCUGUUGUAUGGGAAGAGCGGAAGGCGGUACCAUACGAGGAAGCCCCGGCAAACUACGUGCCAGCCGCCGCGGUAA